rnacentral:rRNA from 1 species
GUGAACCUGCUGCUGGAUCAUUACACGUGAUUCUCACAUUCACCAUCUAUCUGUGUGUAGAUAUUGUCCCCCGAACUUGAAACAUCCAGUUUAAAGUGGCUGUUCGCCACACUAACAAAUCGUUUAGAUGGGGGGACACAAAAACCAACGGCUGCGCUGGCGUCUCUGCGUUGUUGAGCAGUUGUUGCAUGCCAUCAUAUAUGCUACGUCCGUGGCUGUGAUGAGACAACGCGGUAGGACUGCACAUACCUUGCCACUCUGGUUUGCGGUUUAAGACUCAAUGAGCGCCCUGGUUUGGCGCCGCCAGCAUUAUUUUUUCAUUAAAAACUUUUUAACCAAAAAAACAACAUUCUAGUCUUAUCGGUGGAUCACUCGGCUCGUGGGUCGAUGAAGAACGCAGCCAACUGCGAUAAGUAGUGUGAACUGCAGAAACCUUGAACACAAAACAUUCGAAUGCACAUUGCGCCACCGGAGUAACAUCGGGUGGCACGUCUGGUUCAGGGUCGACAUACAAACAUGCACUGCAUUUGUGUGCGGAAUUGUGGGAUCAACAGGAAAUGAUGCCGCAUUUGUUUGAAAUGGCACCUUGCUAGGGACAAAAAGUCCAACAUGUGAUUGUGAAAUGUUUUAAUCCAUGUUUUACAACCUGUGAACCUGGGACAAACUUGACUCUCUUAAGGUAGCCAAAUGCAUCGCCAUCCAAUUAGUGGAGCGCGUGGUGUACCAAAGGUGAUAAACAAUUUUGACCUGAACUCAAACGUGAUUACCCGCUGAACUUAAG